GAUGAACGCUGGCGGCGUGCCUAAUACAUGCAAGUCGAGCGAACAGACGAGGAGCUUGCUCCUCUGACGUUAGCGGCGGACGGGUGAGUAACACGUGGAUAACCUACCUAUAAGACUGGGAUAACUUCGGGAAACCGGAGCUAAUACCGGAUAAUAUAUUGAACCGCAUGGUUCAAUAGUGAAAGACGGUUUUGCUGUCACUUAUAGAUGGAUCCGCGCCGCAUUAGCUAGUUGGUAAGGUAACGGCUUACCAAGGCAACGAUGCGUAGCCGACCUGAGAGGGUGAUCGGCCACACUGGAACUGAGACACGGUCCAGACUCCUACGGGAGGCAGCAGUAGGGAAUCUUCCGCAAUGGGCGAAAGCCUGACGGAGCCACGCCGCGUGAGUGAUGAAGGUCUUCGGCUCGUAAAACUCUGUUAUUAGGGAAGAACAAAUGUGUAAGUAACUAUGCACGUCUUGACGGUACCUAAUCAGAAAGCCACGGCUAACUACGUG
rnacentral:rRNA from 1 species